GGGAAUGAGAAAAGAGUGGCUUGUUUUGGUAGAGGUGGAGCAUGCUCACUCCCUGACUCAGAGCCGGGAGGUACUCUGGGCCCUGCAACAGCCUGGGGACUGUGGCUUGACUUGGGAAACUGGUCCGUUGGAUGACUGAAGGGAACCCACACCAUGAGCACACUCUCCAGUGAGUCAAUGAUUAUUCUGCUCCAGCCACUGAGGCAAUAGAGACGUUGACUUCCACUCUAGCCGAUGAGGGCUCAGGUGAGGAAGAGAGAAGAAGAGUGAGGAAGCUGGCUUUAACUCCCUGUGUCAGAGUUCAGCCUCCUACAGGCCUCUUGGAACGUUUGCAUUGUAGGUAAGCAGAAGGGUAGUCACCCCCUCUCAACAAUAGCCAAUGGGUGUCAUGACAGGAGAGGCAGGACUCCGGUACACAGGACCACAU
rnacentral:lncRNA from 1 species